ACUAGGUCUAUAUAGGGCCUUUAGUAUAUACCGUAUGCAUGUAUUAUGCACACAUGUUUUUUAUCCUAUGCGGCCGCGUGCUGUGCAGGGCUUUUCGUGGAGGCAGUGUAAAUCUGGGAGUGCAAUUUACUCAGAGUUAAGUAAAAUUUAAUGCCACUGGAGCAAACUUUACUCAUCAAGAAUGAGCAAAACUAAAAAUAGACAAAAAUUGGAGCAAACUUUACUCAACAAGAAUGAGCAAAACUUAAAAAGGAAAAAAAAAGA